CAGCCGCCACGGUAAUACGAAGGGGGCUAGCGUUGUUCGGAUUUACUGGGCGUAAAGGGCGCGUAGGCGGGCGAAUAAGUCAGGGGUGAAAUCCCAAGGCUCAACCUUGGAACUGCCUUUGAUACUGUCGAUCUUGAGUAUGGGAGAGGUGUGUGGAACUCCGAGUGUAGAGGUGAAAUUCGUAGAUAUUCGGAAGAACACCAGUGGCGAAGGCGACACACUGGCCCAUUACUGACGCUGAGGCUCGAAAGCGUGGGGAGCAAACAGGAUUAGAUACCCGCGUAGUCCCUGUCUCUUAUAA
rnacentral:rRNA from 1 species